rnacentral:lncRNA from 1 species
UUUUUUUUUUUUCUUUUUAGGUUGGCACCUGCAGCAUAUGGAGGUUCCUGGGCUAGGGGUCAAAUUGGAGCUAUGGCUGCUGGUCUUCACUAAAGCUGCAGCACACACCAAUAAUAUCUAAGCCCAGAUCUGAGCCACGUCUGCAUCCUACACUGCAGUUUGCUGCAACGCCAGAUCAUUUAACCCACGGAGCGAGGCCAGGGAUCGAACCCACAUCUUCAUGGAUACUAGUUGGAUUCUUAACCCUCUGAGCUAGAACGGGAACUCCUGAGAACGUCUCCUAAUGUCAACAGUACAUAAGAAUCCAAGACAAAUAGGAGACUUCAACUCUUAUGUGUAAAUGCCUAUUAAAACCCACAAACCCACUACAUACAAUGAAACAUGUAAUGAAAACCUAGUCUCAUGCAGCUAUCCUUCUAGAGGCUGGUGAUAAAGUCAUAGCCCACUACUACCAUCAAACAAGAACAGAAACAAAGAUGCAUCUCAAUACAAUAAUGGUGUGGCCAGAGUUCUGAGAUAACAGAUUAAGCUUGCUAAUACAGCAAGUUAAAAUGUAGGUACUACUAAGAGCAAGCUUGAAGUAUAAUCCUCAAAUGGAACACAACUUUUCACAAGAAUUCCUCUACCACAGAACUGCAAGGAACACCAUCUGGUAGCUUCACAAACACAUGGCCUAGGCCUGGAAGAGAACACAGGAAGAUAAAAAACAGUAAUUAUAUGGAGUGGUAGAAUUAUAAGCAAAGUUUUCUACAUGUAUUUCCUUGUUAUUUAAUGUAGAUGUGAUAAGAAGCUAAUAACUGUUGAUUCAUACUUGUUAUUAAAUAUUCUUUAAUCACUAUUUUGUCAAAAAGCAAAUUUAAACAUUCCCUAAUGAAAAAUGAAUCAGUUUACUAAUUGCUUCUAUUAAUGGAGAUAUUCUAUCAACAUAUUUCUUUGUUAUAAACUUCAUUUUCAGACAGAAAUAACAUGAGGCAAUGAGAGUUAUAUCCCAAUUUCAGACAAAGUAUUUAAUACAGUAUGAAAACAGAAUUAAAUGUUUAUUAAAACAGCACUAGACAUUCUGAAAAACAUAAAAUAUGCAACAGAAAACUCUGGGGCAAACAGAAGGGAGAGGUUUAGUCAAGGGGAUGAAGAUCCAAGCGAAAAGAGUAGGCAGGACCUGCUACGUAGGAAUUAACUGCUACAGUGGCCAGGAUCUUUGCUGCCAUCCUCACUGGCUCAGGCGGUGGGGAGGGGAGCCCAGGUCUCUGGAAAGUGCACUGUGAUCAGGCCCAGGCAUCUUCUCCCAAGGACACCAGGGCUCUCUGGCAGAAAUGUACAGCUGGAACCUCAUAAUCUGUCUACGUUUUGAUAGAGAAAGAGGGGGAAAGUGCCUAGAGGUAGGAAAGGGAGAAUUAUCACAAAGAGCAUCCCAGGCUUCUGAAAAAAUAGUUUGGGGGCCUAAGAAUGAGGAAACAACUGACAUCAGAGACUAGCCCUGUGUCGGUGGGGAGAAUCAUGGCCAAGAGAGGGAAAUGGCAGAGAGAGGAAAAGAUAUAGCCCCCCAAAGAGAAACUGUGAAGACUUGCAGCCUUGCUGCUCUGCAGCUAUGUACAGACAGAGAAACUGACACACAGCUGCUGCUGUCGGAGGGUCCUCAAUGAGGGAGCUAUCAGGCAGGCCUGGCUGAGCUUGUGCUAUCCUGACUGGCAUAUCAUGAGGAUUUUCUUGUUUGACCACAGCUAACUAUCCCAGGAUCUUUGCUUCCAGAAAAUUUGUUAAUGGAGAUAUAACCAUUUAAAAGAAAGACAGGUGGGAAUUCCCUUCCUGGCUCAGUGGUUAACGAAUCCCACUAGAAACCAUGAGGUUGCGGGUUCAAUCUCUGGCCUUGCUCAGUGGGUUAAGGAUCCGUGAGCUGUGGUGUAGGUUGCAGACGCGGCUCGGAUCCUGAGUUGCUGUGGCUCUGGUGUAGGCCAGUGGCCACAGCUCCAAUUCGACCCCUAGCCUGGGAACCUCCAUAUGCUGCGGGAGCGGCCCAAGAAAUGGCAGGGAAAAAAAGACAAUAAAUAAAUAAAUAAAUAAAUAAAUAAAUAAAUAAAUAAAUAGACAGGUGCUCCAAUCCAGGCCAAUGGGAAAAACUGAACUUACACAUCUCUCCCAAAGUUUAAAAAUAUGACAUCUGAAAUUUGUACUGAAAUUCAAGGUGACUUUUUUAAAACUUAACUUUCCAAGGAAUGGUGGGAAUCCUAGAUGACAAAUUUUCUGAUUAAUAUUUCCACUAAAAAGAAUUAAGUUGGAAUCAACUAGAAAUUUCUCUUUUUAUACUUUGGUUUGAGGUUUGAUGUUCUCCUUAUCUUGAGGAUAAUUAUUGAGUUUUGCCUUACACCUAAUGAAAAGAACAAAAUCUAUUUUAAUUUUAGAAUUUACUCUGACCCAAGAGUCAGUCAGAUUUCUCCAAACCCUUAUCUAGAAUACAUCUUUCAGUUUUAAAUGAGACUUUUGACAUCUCCUGGCAAGGUUGACACCUUAGCUCAAGUACUACCUCCCUUGGUUAUACUUCCCUACAGUUGCCUUUAGUAUGGUAAUCAGCAGUUUGGGAAACAAAGGAAUUGUAGAAGAAUUUUAGAAACUAGAAAAUCUAGAUAAGUGGUCAAUAUCUGAGGAGAUAAAGAGAAUCUAAGUCCAUAAACUCGAAGAUACAAAGUGAUUUUAUGUUGUUAUACAUUAUAAAAUAACAGCUCUCAUGUACUGAAUGCUUAUGCUGUGCUAAGCCUAUGUCUAUAUAAUUAUUCUAAAUGAUUUCAUCUCCCAAUUCCCAUAACCACCUGUAAAUUUGAUGGUGUCACCUUAUUUUACACUUGAAGAAAUAAAGGCCUAGAGAGACCAGAUCAAGGCCCAUGGCCACAGAGCUAGAAGGUGGCAGAGACAGGAUUUGAAUACCCCUGACUCCAGAGUCUAUUUGCUCAGCACCAACCCUGCCCCAUCAAUGUAAUAUACUAGACACUCCAGGACUGUCUUCUCCAAGAGGCCUUCCUGGCCAGCAUCUUCACCCCACCUCCUCUGCUCUGAAUUGCAUCCUGUCCUGUGUGUUUUCAGAGCCCUUUACCAAACUGUCUCCCAAUAAGGACUGCACAUUUCUUGAAGGCAGGGUCCAUGGCUUACUUAUCUUUAUACCUUCAGCACCUACCAAAGAGAGUGAGAAAGAGCUUACAGGAUGUUGAAAUAAGAGAUAUCUAGGGAAGAUGCCAGAAUUAAACAUUUACUAUCCUCAUGCAAAAUCUAACAGAUUUAUACUUUCAUUUUAUACAACUGGCAUUACUAGUUAUUCUUUUUAUAACGCUGAUAGUUUAUAUACAGGUAUAUCUCAUUUUAUUGUGCUUUAAUUUAUUGUGCUUUCCAGAUAUUGCAUUUUUUUACAAAUUGAAGAUUUGUGGCCACCUUGCAUUGUCAGAUGAAGGCCAGCAUUCUUUUAGCAAGAAAGUGGGGGGGGGGUUGGUUUGUUUGUUUUGUUUUGUUUGUCUUUACAGGGCCACAUCACAGUAAAUAGAGGUUCCCAGGCUAGGGGUCAAAUCAGAGCUGUACCUGCAGGUCUACACCACAGCCACAGCAACACAGGAUCCAAGCUGCAUCUGCGACCUACACCACAGUUUACGGCAAUGCUGGAUCCUAAACCCACUAAGCGAGACUGGGGAUCAUACCUGAGUUCUCCUGGAUGCCAGUCAGAUUCAUUUCCACUUAACCACGACAAAAACUCCAAUGAAAUAUUUUUAAAUUAAGGCAUGUACGUAGUUUUUUUAGACAUAAUACUAUUAAAUACUUAAUAGACAACAGUAUAGUGUAAACAUAACUUUUACAUGUACCGUGAAACCAAAAAAUUCAUUUGACCAGCUUUAUUGAGAUAUUCACUUUAUUAUAACGGUCUAGAAUCAAACCCACAAUAUCUCUGAGGUAUGCCUGUAAAUGAGUUGAUUCUAUUUGCAAGUAAUUCUGCUACCUUAGCAGCUGUAGUAGGCAACUGUAACAGUGAAGGCAUCAACAGUGGCCAAAGGAAUGAAUAAAAAAUAAAUAUACAUUGUAUAUUAAAUAAAGUGGAACCAAAUGCUAAUUGUUGAUUAAAAAUGAACACUAAGAUGUAACCAACCACAAUGAAUUUUUUUUUUUCUUUUUUGGUGGUGCCUCAGCAUAUGGAGUUCCCAGACCAGAAAUGAGAUCAAAUCCACAGUUGCAACUGAGCUGCAGGUGUGGCAACACCAGAUCUUUAACCCACUGUGCCAGACCAGGGAUCAAACCUGUGUCCCAGAACUCCAAGAGGUUUGUGCCACAGCAGGAACUCCUGAAAAGGCCUUGAGCAUUAUGUGACAGUGCACAAGAAUUCAUAUUCUUCCUAUAAAUGUCUGGUUCUCCUGCCCCUAAGUGUUUCAGAGAGUGACAGAGAAAGCUCUAGCUUAGAAGAACUGUUUUGUCAAGUAAAAAAUGGCCUCAAAAGUAUUUACAAUUCUCAUUUGCUCAUUCUUACUAUUGAAAAACAGUGAAAAUGCUCAUGAGGACUUUAAAUAAAACUUUCAUUACAUGCAAAGGAAAUGGUACAAGCUACACAUUAAAUUGUCUAGUUUCUUAGUUAAGUAAAGUAAGGAAGUAUUCAAGAUAAGGCUGACACACACCCUUCCCAGUGGUGAUCUGCCACCCCCAGAUUAAAAACAAAAACAAAAAACUGUAAUCAAAGCCAAUCUUAAGCAAAGCAAGGUCCUGGCAAAAUGCUCCAUUUCCUCCUACAAAUAUCCACAGCAGGGCUGUACCAAGCCAUUUAUGUACCAAGUGUUUUCUUGGUCAUUAAAGUAUUUCCCUCUCUCAGGCUCAUGGGCUCCCUCUCUUCAUCUCUCUCUCUCACUCUCUUUCUCUUCCCACCCCUUCUCCCUUUGUCCCUCGCUCUCUGUCUCUAUCUCUGUCUCUGCCCCUCUUAACAGCUUUUCAUUCACUUGACAUGUGAGCCCUGCUAUAAGUACCUAGACACCUACCAGUAACCAACUCUCCCAGUCAUGCCUCCCUGGCAAGUUUCCAGAUAAGAAAGAAAGAACCCCUUUAAAAGACGAUGGUGAAGACAACCAGAAUGUCCACCUAAUGCUGAACAUUCCAGAAUUCUUCAAAGUACAGCUGACCCAUGGAGUUCCUGUCAUGGCACAGCAGAAACGAAUCCAAUCAGGAACCAUGAAAGUUUUGUGGGUUCGAUCCCUGGCCUUGCUCAGUGGGUUAAGGAUCUGGUAUUGCCAUGAACUGUGGUACAGGUCACAGACACGGCUCAGAUCCUGCCUUGCUAUGGCUAUGGUGUAGGCCAGCAGCUACAGCUCUGAUUAGACCCCUAGCCUGGGAACCACCAAAUGCCAUGGGUGCAGCACAAAAAGACAAAAAGAAAAAAAAAGACAAAGUACAGUUGACCCUUGAAUAACACAGAUUUGAACUGAACAGGCCCACUUAUAUACUAACUUUUUUUUUCCUUUUUAUGGCUGCACCUGCAGCUUAGGGAAGUUCCUGGGCUAGGGGUCGAACCAGAGUUGCAGCUGUAGGCCUACACCACAGCCAUAGCAACACUGGAUUUGAGCCACAUCUGCAACCCAGGCUGCAGCUUAUAGCACCAGAUCCUUAACCCACUGAGCGAGGCCAGGGAUCAUACCCACAUCCUCACAGAGACAAUGUCAGAUCCUUAACCCACUGAGCCACAAUGGUAACUCCUAUGCAGACUUUUAAAAAUAAUAAAUAUUACUGAUCCACAGUUAGCUCAAUCCACAGAUGCAGGAUAGCUCAUAUAGACAAAAAGGAUAUAGGGAGAGCUGGCUUUAAAUUAAAUGUAGAUUUUUGACUGUGCCAGGAUGAAGUCCCAAUUCACCAGUCCCCCUGUUCAAGGGUCAACUGCUAUAUUUAAAGAACCAAAAAAUGUCAAACUACUAAAAUUCUUCUGGUAGUGCUACCCAUUGUGUUGCCAUUUUAAGCUAGACUAAGGAGAAUACUUGAAGAAUUCUAAAUUCUAGCUCCCCUAAAAAUGUCCAUUGGUCUAGCAUCCAAAUUUGUUAUUAUGUCAGAAAGCCAUUGCUUUGGCAGCUAUUCUGCAGCUUAUGUAAAAUGAGUCAGGAUGCUCAGUCCAGUUCCAGACAACUGGUGUCCAGGUCAUAUAUCACCUGUACUGGGGACAGCUCUGGACUCAGAGUGUCCUCCCUGAGGCUUGGUGGGUGACAAGAUAGGCCAGAACAAGGAGACCCAAAACCCUGCAGAUAGACAGAGCCCAUAGGGAGAAGCGUCCCAAGAGGGAUGGCUGGUCUGGGGGAUUCAUUUGCUUAUUACAAUAAAAUAAUUGAAAGUACUGUUGAACUAGAGGAAUGACUCUAUGUGUUUGCAGGGUUGUGGGGAGACAGCAAGGCAUUAGAGUCUGACAGGAGGGGACCUUUAAAAGCUGCGCAGAUCCUGGUAUUUUCCCAGCCCACAGAAAAAGAUGUGGGGUCCCAGGUAGCACACCAAGCCAAGGAGGGACCAGCUGAGGCUUGGUCACAGAAACGGCAAAAAAAAAAAAAAAAAAAAAAAAAAAAACUAAACUAAACAGUCAUUGGUCAUAGUGAAA